rnacentral:rRNA from 2 species
CACGGGAAAUUGCCCAAGAUACGGCGAGUGAUUUCGCAUCAGCAGCUGUUUGAGCUCUCGGCUUCGGCCCGAGUUGUAAUUUGUGGAGGAUGCUUUGGGCGCGGCGCCUACUGAGUUCCCUGGAACGGGACGCCACAGAGGGUGAGAGCCCCGUAUAGUUGGAUGCCUAGCCUAUGUAAAGCUCCUUCGACGAGUCGAGUAGUUUGGGAAUGCUGCUCAAAAUGGGAGGUAAAUUUCUUCUAAAGCUAAAUACCGGCCAGAGACCGAUAGCGCACAAGUAGAGUGAUCGAAAGAUGAAAAGCACUUUGAAAAGAGGGUUAAAUAGCACGUGAAAUUGUUGAAAGGGAAGCGCUUGUGACCAGACUUGCGCGGGGCAGAUCAUCCGGUGUUCUCACCGGUGCACUCUGCCCGGCUCAGGCCAGCAUCGGUUCUCGUGGGGGGAUAAAGGUCUCGGGAACGUAGCUCUUUCGGGAGUGUUAUAGCCCGGGGCGUAAUGCCCUCGCGGGGACCGAGGUUCGCGCAUCUGCAAGGAUGCUGGCGUAAUGGUCAUCAGCGACCCGUCUUGAACCACGGACCC